rnacentral:tRNA from 1 species
GGGCUAGUAGCUCAGUUGGUUAGAGCGCGCGCUUGAUAAGCGUGAGGUCGGAGGUUCAGCGCGCUUGAUAAGCGUGAGGUCGGAGGUUCAAAUCCUCCCUGGCCCACCA